GGCAAAAUGUGUACUAAAAUGGAGAGACGAUCAAGGUUUUCACAUCCAAUACAAAAGAAAAGACUUCCAUUCUAAAUGUAAAUCAUGAGAAGACUCCUUCCAUUAGAUCUUGCCAGCAGUAUGUCGGGGUAAGCUUGAAUUCCUGUUCGAUCUUUCCUACUAUUGUCGCUGACAUCAUGAUUGAUUGCUAUUUUUCAUUUGUUGUUCAUGAAUAAGGAUUUUAGCAAAUAUGAAAUAUUCAACGAAAUGUACAAAAGAGACAAAUUCAUUACAAUGGAAGGCAUGAUGAAUUAUAUACGUAUGCAUAAAAAUUAUAUAGCCGAAUUCUAUGAGAAAAUGCACUCGAAAUCAGCAGAAUUCAGUGUUCCAAGUAUUUCAAAGCUAACUUGAAAUCAUCGUGAAUUUCAUUUACUACUUAUUACACCUUUCACUAUUCACUCUCAAUGGAAGUUUCAACCAAAACAAAAGUCGCACGCCCCAAACCAACCGUUCUUUGCAGCUCGUCCAACAAAAACCAACCCUUUACAUCCCGCCAAGUUCAAUGAAAUCAAAUCUGUUGACUAAAUUACACGUCGAAGAUGGUACCACGAGUGGUCUACAGGAGGCCCGUGCUUCCGAAUGGGUUGCUUGCAGGCGGUGGUACGGUAUGGUGGUUAGGAGCAGGGAAAGCUCCGAAACCGGAAUCACCAAAAGGAUUUGUUGGGUCCAUCGUGAAGGGCUGUUGCUGCUGUGGGAAGGUAGGUUGAAAAGGACCAAAAGGAUUGGCCUGCUGCUGAGCUAAUGGUGCCAUUUGAACUGAUGGAGGUGGAGCGAUGGCAUUUGAAUAUGCAAAUGGGUCUUGCACCUCAAAUGGAUUUGGUGCGGGUUUACCAUACACGGGCUGUAGAGAAGCUCUAUACGCACCUUCAUCGUAUAAACUAUCGAGAAUGAGUGUGUCCAGUCCACCAGCCUGGUUCAUCAGAAGUGAGAAUUUAUCAAUUAGAUUGAAGAAUAUGCCAACAAUAACAUUCCUAAUGCUCUUAAGAAUUUAAGGCACUAACUACGUCAGUUUCAUUUAAGAAUUGUUCUCAAGUAAUAACGGCCAUUAAAAGAUGAAGACUGGAGAACGAGUUCCAAAUUCACAAUAGCAUUAAAGGCCUACCAGUUGUCUCUCAUUAGCUGAUGACAGGUUAGUACUUGGAGUAGUAACCAAGGCUAGCUCCCAACCCGUAGGAUCGAAAUCAUUAGCCUGUGCACCAUUGGAGUGAAAAGUGGGUGCUUCUGUAUCUGGUAUGAAGUUCAAUAUCAUUAACACAAGUGGUUAAGAAAAUUUCUCAAACAACCCACCCAAGGAAGAAAGACUUUGGAAUUUACCACCAGAAGGAACUAUAGCUAAAGCCAAAGCAUUUCUCUCCUCAAUUGCAGAUACUUCCGUGGUAGCAAGGCUCAAUCCCUGAAAAAUCGACCAGGCAAAAAAUUAUGAUUAUUUGUCGUGAUUUUAAGGAUGAUGAUGAGAGGUAUUAUCGAAUUAGUAUUAUAUAUACCAGUAAAUCUCCAGUCUCUAAAUGGCUUUCCGGAGCAGGAGCUGGUGCUGGAGGUGGUGGUGUUGGAGCUGUUUCAACAGGAGUAAUAGAAAGAUCAUUUGAAGGAGAAGCCUCCAGCUCAUCAGUGGGUAAGUUUUGAUCCUCGGAAAGAGAUUCUUCUGGCUUGUAGGUAAGUUGCAGCUGUUCAAGAUGAGAAAAUAUGAAAAAAAAAAUUCACGAGAAUUAAGAUGGCGAAAUUCUCAUCAGAACAACUCAAGGGAUGGAAGAUAAGCAUCCCCUGCCCAAAGGAAGGAUUAAAAUAACAGCUUCCAAUCGAGGUUAAUAGAAGCUAAGGAGUAAUUACAAAAAGCCUCAUGUUGAGCACAUUGUCAAACAGAAAAAUCCCUGAAAUACACAAAUAAUAUCGUCCGAUGUACAGCCCAAUUUUUGGUAUGAAAAGUUACCAAGAAUAUACUAACCAGUGGCUCAUUCGGUACUGUAACCAUUCGUGGUGCCUCCCUAAUAUACUCUUCCAUCGUAUUAAGAAAUGACUGUGGAGGCUGGAAAUGGAUAACAAGGCAUGAAGUAGGAAAGUAUAAGUUCAUACAUUAGCUUUAAUCCACAAGAGACAUAUAUUAUAUUAUGAAUUACCAACACUACCUCUCUUAAAACAGGAAACUGGAAAUUCCGAGCAAGUUCUAACCCUUUGCAAAUAUCAUAGAAAUCUGAUAGGCUUCCUGCCUGCAGCAAGGUAAAGGCAAGACAAAUAAACCUGAACUACCUAUUGGUGUACCUCAGCUAAUAUAACUAAGGUUGAGAAACAUAUGGAGGCAAGAAAAGUUAAUAGACAACAAGAAAUCAUUGUGAAAGAUAACCAUCAUUUUUGGAAACAAAAAUGAGUUCAAAGUACCUGUUGGCCAGCUCUUUUAUAGAUAUCAAGGGCUUUGAUCGCCUCAUGUCUUGGCAUCUCAAAAAACUGCAAGACAAUAAAUUUAUUCACGCCAAUUCGCUAACCGUGUCUGAAAGUCUUGCUUAGGUAAGAUGCUUAAUACUCACCUUGUCAACGAGAUUUAUAAUUCCAUCAUUAAUAGCACAAUAGAUUUUAAAGCUCUCUUUCAAUACCUGAAAAUCGCAUGUCACGGUAUUAGCAAGACUGGAAAGCUUUACUAACUGAAAAGUAUCCUUUGAAAACAGAAAAAAUAUGAGAACAGAUACUAUACAUUUGAUCUUUGUCAAAAGGCAUAUACAAUAUAAAAAAGAGAUCUAGAACUCUGUUAGUAUAACUCCUAACAAGAACAAAAAAACACUAAAAGAUAAGUUUAUAUUGCAAUGUCAAUGAAGAAACUGCAAUAUAACAGUCUUUCAAGAGAGGGCUACUCUCUCCCUUUCCCAAAAAAAAUCCCCACAAAAUUCUUCACUCCUCUAGCCAUACUCCCUCCUAUUUAUAAUGCAAAAGAUCUAACGAACUUAAUAUCUAAUUACUAGAAUACUCCUUACUGUAAUGAUGUAAGAAGACGAAGGGUUAAUUGAGUAAUUAGGCAAUAUUCUAGGUUAAAUCCCUUGUUGCCCCCACUUGUAAUAGAUUUCGAUGAAUAUGAGUCUUUCCCUCUUGUAUGAAUCACAUUAUUCGUUCUAAUAAAAGAUUCACAAUCUUAGUUCUUGGAGGAUUUCUCCUUGAGGUUACUUAGGCUGCAUUAAUUUGGUAUUAGAGGAAUCGUCUAGCCAAUGUUGACUGCCGCCGGUGGAAGAUCAAUAAACUCUUGUUGAUGUCGAUCACGAAAGGGAGUUUUGAGUGUUGUGCUCGUUGCCAAACAACACACAUCUAAUUAGGGGGAACCCUUAAAAUUCCAAGAAAGAAAGAAGACACUAAAGAUUUUGCAAGAAUAAACUACUAUUGAUCAAAGAAGAUGUCUAAGAAAAAAAACCAGAAGUUGGUAUAGACAAGAAAAUUAAUUUUACUUCCAUAAAAAAUGGUGGAAUCUGAUUCAAGUGAUUUGGAAGAAGAAUUUCAACAUUCUAAUUUUGGCCAUGCUCAAUUUUCGCGAAGAACCUAUCAUUAUCCAAUGAUGUUUCUAAGGCAGUUUAGGAAGAAAUAAGAAGGUGAAAAUUUCAAGAAAUGGCCAAACAAUCCAAUCAAACCCAUUUUUCAAGAAAUCAACGUAAAGAUUGGGAGUUGGAUGAAUUAAAGAAUCAUAAAAAAUGGAUUAUUUUUAAAUGGAGACAAGUCUCUUAAAUUAUUAUUAAUAAAAGAACCUUAAGCUCAAAGUAUAAGAGUAUUAUACUAAAAGCAAGAGAAUCCAUAGCUACAACAAAAGCUAAAGAACAAAUUCCAAACAGAAGAGAUCAAGCUAAAAAAACCCAUAACCGUAGAAAUCUAAAUACAAAGCAUAAUGAAAAAUUCUCUUAUAAAGAACUACUUUGAAACUAAAAACUUGCAAGAAGAUCCAACCGGCUACCUCGAAUCUUCCUUGCCAUAUUAUUCCAAAAUCUAAAGGAAGCUUGAAAAGGUCUUCAGCUAUUCCAACAUCCGCAUAAAGGAUUUACUUGUCACCCACAUGAAGGGAAGUCCAAGAAAAACCGACAUUAGUCCAACAUUGAGGACGAAUACAUUAAAAGACUAAAGAAUCAAAUUAGAAUAAUUUCACAAUCAGCAUUGAUUUUAAAUGAUUUGGUAUUUCGCAAGACUAGGGUCAAGAAAGAGUAGUAGAAGGCAUUACAGAUCUUGGCUCUUCCUUGCAUUGAAACCGAGCAUUGAGAUCUGUUUCUAGAGGCUCAAAAUGUUUCUGACUUUCAAGCUCAGUUGACCUAUCCAGAUGCUCAAAUUACUAUUAACGCUAGAAAGGAAAUUGAAGAAAGGCUCACCCUUCUUGUUGGAUUGAUUGAGAGGGGUUUUGCUUAGAGAGCCCAUCAGAAACUUUACCUUAGAGUUGGACAAAGAGAACUCAGAGUACUUAAACUGGGUAGAACGAGGAUGAUCAUAAAUUGACUUAGAAAAACGGGCUGGAGCUUGAAUUUGAAUGCAGCUAACUUCUAAUCAAUUUGGAUUGGCCUCUAAAAACAGCUUGGAGCUGCUAGAAUAAGUUAAAGAAAGAGAAUGCGCACUAUUUUCCUCAAGCAAAUUGGGUAUUUGAUCUUAAAAAAUCUGGCCUUUUAAGGAACGUUUGCCAAAAUCUUCCAUCCAAGAUUCAAAAUUACUCUUUUGGUUACGAAACACGACAAGAAAGGAUAAUUCAAGAAAAUAAGUGGAUGAGUCUUACAUAUAUGUUGGAUUCUUGAAAAUCAAUGGAUUGCAACACAUUCAAGAAUCCAACAAAAUAAUUACUUUGAUCCCGCAGCAUUGGAGGAAAUAAAGAAAACAACAAAAGAAAUUCAACGUUCAUUGAGGGAAAUGACUCAACAUUUAGAUCAAUUGUCAAUUCAUUUGCAAGAGUUCAAGAACGGAUUGGUUUCAUAUAUGGCAGAAAAAACAAAGGAAUCACGGUUGGAAAAUUUUCAAAUAGAAAAUCUUGAAGAUAAAAUUAAAGAACAAGAAUUUGAAAAUGUUGAUUUGGAAAUUGUCAUAAGUGAAGAAAAAUCCAACGAAGAAGAUAAAAAAGAAGUAUCGAACAUCAAGCAAAAAUCGAACAACAAUGUCACAUUGGUUGCAGUGGAAAUGAAUCAUCAAACCAUUGAAGAACUUGAAGCAAAUGAUAAAGAAAAUGUGAUUCUUGAAGGAUACUCUUCAGAAGCUAAUUCUUUUGAGAUUGAUUCUUCGAAAACAGUUUCGAGUGAGAUUGAAGGAAACAUCCUUUUCAGGGUUACGAUCGAUGGAGAGGUUCAUCUUUUAGUGGCCAUAUUUGAUUUUUUGUCUUAUUUUACCUCUUUGAUCAUAAUAUUUUUGUUCAAAACGUAGGAGGUUGGUCUGGUCAUACUCCGUUGAAUAAGUUUAUUUCAUUUUUUUUUUUUUUUUGCUUCAUAAAUUUACUCUUUCUGAAACUCAGGACGAGUUUGUUGUUUGGAGGGGUAGAAUGAUGUAAGAAGAUUAAGGGUUAAUUGGAUAAUUAGGUAAUAUUCUAGGUUAAUUCCCUUUUUACCCCCACUUGUAAUAAAACUCCAUAAAUAGGAGUCAUCUCCUCUGGUAUGAAGCACAUUAUUCAUUCUCAUUGUUAGAAAUAAUGGGCUUAGACAUGAUGAAAGCCCAUGGAUAGUUAAAAUUUACCUUGCCUAUUUUUUUCCUUUUAAGGCUCGUGUUGCAUAUAAAUUUCCCCCCUUUCUACCUUUAUGUAUUAUUAGAAAAUAAUACGAUCUUCAACAUCGUGGUUUUUCUCCCUGUACUAAGGUUUCCACGUAAAUUUCCGUGUCCUUUAUCUUUACUUACAAUACUCAUAAAAGAUUCACAAUCUUGGUUCUUGGAGGAUUUCUCUUUGAGGUUAUUUAGGCUACAUCACUUACUACUAAUCAAAGUAAUUAUCGUAAUAUUUUCCUAACUAGGAGUCUUACAAACUCCUCCUCAAUUCUCACAUAACGUCGAAUGCAUACAUACAACAACAAAAACAUAAGAUCUUAGCCAAGGUCCUUGCUAAUCAGUUAACAAAGUGGUGCCCCCUCCAUAUCUAAGGCGCAGGGAGUUUUUCUUGCUAGGAGGCAAAUCUUGGUUCACGCUCUUAUAGCCAAUGAAGCCAUCUAUCAGUUGAGGAAGGAGGGUAUUGUGCUUAAGCUUGACUCCAAAAAGGCUUAUGAUCAUGUUGAUUGAGAAUUUUGGAUAAGGUGUUGAUUUAGAAGGGUUUUGGGUAUAAGUGGAGGAUGUGGAUCUGGAUCUGGAUGUGGGCAGUGUUAGAAAUGUGAAGUACUCUAUUCUGAUCAAUGGAACCUCUAAGAGGUCGAUCCAAGCUUCUAGAGGUCUAAGGCAAGGAGACCCUCUAUCUCCCUUCCAGUUUUUAGUUGUCAUGGAUGUUCUAAGCAAAAUCAUUCUAAAGGGAGUGGAGGGUAACAUUAUCAAGGCUUUUAGGGUGGAAGCAAAUGAGGUGGCCUUAACGCAUCUCUAAUUUGCUAAUGAUACAAUGUUAUUUUGCUUAAGAGAUGAAGUAUAUUUUCUGAUUCUUAAUCAUAUGGUGGGGUUCUUGGAAGCGAUGCUUGGUUUUAAAAUCAAUAGGAGUAAAUGUCAAAUUAUGGGGAUUUAACUAUGAUCAAUAUAAGGCUUAGGAGAUGGGCAGAGGCGUUUGGUUGCAAGGUAGGUUCUUUUCCUUCUCCUUAUCUUGGGCUUCCUCUGGGAGGUAACCCGAGGUCUAUGACAUUUUGGGACCCUAUUUUUGAGAAAAUCCGAAAAAGACUAGCAUGGUAAAAGGAAGGAUUUUUCUCUAAAGUUGGAAGACUUCUAAUGAGAUUGGUACUAAGUGGUAUUCCUAUAAGGUUUUAUCAUCUCUCCUCUCACGGUCUUUUCUUUCUUCUGAAUUAACCACAUGAACUUCAACUUGUUGCAAUAAUUAAUGUGUCCCCCCAACUUGAAACAUUUCAACCAAUUAUGGUUUAAGACAAUUGCCUCGUAACUUGUUUGAUCUAGAAUCUUAUAACACUUACUCAGACACACACUUCCUAUCCUACUCCAAAUCAUUAGGCGUGGGCCCCAAUGACUUCCUUUCUAGGAAGCAAGCGACCAUCAUUCGAGAAUAUAGAAUCUAAUGAAUUUUGACAAACUCAAUGUCUAAGUGGGAUUCUAUCUUCUAUAAAAUGACUCCCUCGUCAAAAACCAAAACUAUGACAACUACUUUUUUUUAUAUCCGUGAGUAUAUGAGCCAGUUUACGCGCACCUCGACUAAUCUCACAGGACCUACCUAACCCUACAACAUUUAGGUGUCAAGGAAACUCAGAAACUUAAUUCCUAGGUAGGUGGCCCCCAUGACCUCUUAGUUAGUUAUUGAGACUGUCUUGAUUUUUACCACUAGGUCAAUCUAUGAUGGUUAACUAUGACAACUGCUCUCAAAGAUUAUUCAACAAUAAGAAAAGUUUCAUAAAUUCAAGAUUCUGGCAUUUUGAUCCAUAUUUUGAACCUAAGAAUUUAGCACAUGAUGUUUCCCAAAGGAGGAUUAGGUGUGUAAUGUAAAAUAUUGAUGGGUUCUACCUGCUAAAAGUGUUAUGCAUUUACUGUUUUAUGUUUCCAACGUCAUCCAAGUUAUGGCUCUACAUUUUAAGGUUUGCCACUUCCUUGCAUUGCAACUUUGAAUGGGAUUUGUUGUGAAACCAUAAAUAAUAUUGGAAAAAAAGAGUUUGCUAAGUCAAUAUGUGAUGAAGAGAUUUAACUAACACUGGAGCCAUGCUCAAAAGUCAGAUAAGUAGCAGAAGAAUGCUUUUAACCAUGACCCAUCCCUGUCCUUCCAACCAUAUGAAACUUCUGAUGAUAGUUCCUAUCUCCAAUUAUGCCCAAUGCACCAUCCAUCCUUAAAAUGAUUGUUUGUGCUCCAUGAGAUCGAGAACAAAUCUAUUUCAUGUAGCUUUGACAAAAAUUACAUAGGUACAGUUAUCCAGAUUACUAAAGUCCAUCUACAAAAAAAGUAUGCCCUCUCAGCCGAAGAAUCAGUAUUGCUUAGGCUAUCAGACUCGAUAGAGUAUUUAAUUCAAAUUUAAUUCAACCUUUGUCAACUCAAAAGUUCUUCAGGGAAAUGGAUUGCACAACAUAUUUAUUUGGAUUCAAAAGAUUUUGAACAAAGGGAAAGUUUCUCGGAGUUAACAAAAAGUGGUCAACUCUACCAGUUGAGUCCAAAGUGGUUGUGCCUCGAGGAAAAGAUUUUCAAGGAUAGCAACAGUUUUCAGACUUGCUAAAUGACUUUGUUGGCUAAGGGGAAGCUUGGCCGAAGAUGGGGUUGAAAAUGAGAAUUCUUUGCAGAGGUUGUUAAGAUGCCAUCAGUCAAACAUAACCAAAAAUAGAGGUUGGAUGACUUUUGGUCCAUAUAUUAAAAGCAGAGAAGUGGGACAUCACCAUUCAUAGCAGAUAUGUUGUUGCUCCUCCGGCUGGUGGAUUAGAAUUUGAAAUAUUCUGCUGCAUUUAUGGGACUAUAAGAUCUUUAAAGCUAUUGGUCUGCUGACUGCUUGGGAGGUUUUGAGUAUGCAGGAAGCAACUCACAGCUUAUUGGUAGUGUAGAAGUGGGAAUCCAAAUAAGAAACAAUUAUUGUGGCUCUACACCACAGAAAAUCAACCAGAUUGAUGGAGAGAACGUUUGUAUGGUGCAGGUUGUGACUCAUCAAGAUGUAAUAUGUUGAUUAUAGAGUCACCAGAAUCCAUGCAGAAGCCGUUAAUGCUUUUCACUAAGGUCCGCACCUUUGAAUCCUAACGUGAGCCUAGUUAACAAGUAAAAAAUAGAAGAUGGGGCUCACUGUCCACAGAUCCAUAUUUCAAAAGUCCUUUUAGUUGAAAAAGAGUCAAACACAUCAUUGAAAAAUGACAGCAGGCAUAAAUUUAUCCUGCCUCAGACAUGGAUCUGAUAAAGCGGAAGAGUUGGGAGCCUAAGAACAUCUCCAAGCCACAGACAAAAGCCAAAUAUACACAAGGCAAAAAGCCCAUAUAGGAAGACAUAGUCCUAGGAAAAAGAAGCCCAUCCAUCAAAACGAAAAAACUGAUGUAUCACCUACUGCUGUCUUAAUAUAACUGACCACAGACCAUUUUAUCAAUUUUGUUAGUUCACCGGCUGUAAAAGUAGACAGUCACCUUUUGUCACCUUUUCCAUAUAAAAAUUUUUCCAGACUUCUAUUUUUUGUCUUUCAAAGCUUCACCAAGAUUCCAUAAAAAAUAAAAGAGUGUCUCCUUUGCUAAAGAAAAUCAGCUUAUAUCCUAGUUCCAAAAAAAAAAAAAAGGAACGGUAGAGCACAAACAAAAGUGCAGGUCCAGGUCAUGUUGAGCCCACAUCAAACUCAAUUGUAGAAAUGGACAUUGGCUCAGAAGGAGACCUAGAUAGAAGAACUAUAAAAGUUUCUUUCGACACUAAUUCUUGAGCCAACAAAGGACUCCAGGAGAUUUUCAAGAUUUUUUCCAGGAGGGCGACAAUGUAAGUUUGAGGCGAGUGUGAGACAUGAAGAUCAAUGGGGUGUAAUCGAUGGAUCCAAGAGAAAGAGAACCCGUUAACACUUGUUGUAAAGCCCCCAAGCCAAAACAUGAAGGAAAAAAAGAAAAUCAACAUCCCACAGGGUUCCAUGAUUAACAAAGAAGUGUUAACGUUAAAGAAAAACAACUUCUAUAUCUGACUUUUGAGAGGAAAAUUGUCCAAAACAGGUGGUAUGGCUAAAAAAAAGAGGCCUGGAAGUUUCAUGCCUUGUUAAGAAUUAGGAGAAUGUAUGAAAUAGUUUAAAGGCUGAUAUUUAUUGUAAAGCUUGGUGCUACAUUGCAAGUUUAUUGGGGAUUUCCUCUCAUAGUCCAAAAAAGAUUGAUGACUGGCUUUUGGAAGGGUUGAGCACCUUGAAUUUGAAGGGUAAAGCAAAAGUGGCCAGAGGUUGUGAGUUUUGGCACUUAUGGAAGGAGAGAAAUGGAGAGAAAUGCUAGAACGCAAAUAAGUCCUCAGAGUUUGACUCCUUUUGUAAUUAUGUAUAAAAUGUGGCUUCUUGAUGGAUAACCUCACAAAAAAAUUAUUUUCAAACUACAUUUUGUUGAUGAUUUCUACUUAUUGGCAAGCUCUAACGACAUAGUAGAGUUGGGAUGGGGUGUUCUCUAUCCCCGAUCCUUAGGUUGUCCAUAUUUUUGUGACCCAUUUGUCAUUUCUUUUAAAAAAAACAUGAUCAAGUUAAAUACUACAACUUCAACAAAGAGCAUCUAAAAUAAGUUAACCUUUUCUCCAGAUGGUACCACAUGAAGGGCUCUCAAGUAAAUAGGAAAACAACCCGAAGGCAUGUUUCUUUCUUAUAACCUUGAAUUCCCAUCCACCAUAAAGUGGACUAGUAAAGGGAAGAAAGUCUUCUUUUAGUUAAGUUUAGCAUGGGAAUAUAUCCUUUUUGUCCCCGCCUCCCCUCCUUCCCCCCUCCCCCCCACCCACCAAAUUUUAUACCUAAAGUUCAAAAUAACAUGAGUAAAAUGGUAACAUUGACAUUAAUAAUGUUCUAUGCUAAAAAAUUAAAAGCAGAAUCAUGGCACUGCGAAUAACAAAUAUAAACAGAAAAAGGUCAGCAUACCAGUGCCAAGGCGUACUGUAUAACAUAAUUCCCAAUAGCUGCUCCUUCUGGCUGUAAUUUUAACAUCAAAUCAUUUUCAUGCUUAAAGAACAUCACAGCAAUAAACCCACAUUCUAAAAAAGAAAUUUUUUUUCAGCAUCAGAGAGUCGAAGGUUCACAGGUGUCAAAAAGAUACCUUGCAGCCAAUAAGACGAUACAACAGCUGUUGCAAAGCAGGCAAAUGUUCCAACAGUUCUUCACUGUCCAGUUCCCUAGUUCUGCUGUAUCCCUGCCAAUGAAA
rnacentral:lncRNA from 1 species